CACGCGCAACCAGCCGCCGAGGCCCCGCCCCCGCCUCGCACUGACCGGCUGCCCUAGCCAAUCCACGCCCACCUGUCCUCGUUCGCCUCCAAUCCUGGCCCGGGAGCUUCAGACAGGCGCACCGUUCGACCAGUGGCAACAAGGAAGCUGCGUGCUAAUCCCGCCUGCAAAAGCUGGAAGAGAGGGGCGGCAAGAAAGAACCAAUCAUGAGCCGGAGACAAAGAACCAAACAACCAAUCCUUGGGUUGAAAAUGAAGUGGGCUGGAACUGGAAUCAGAUAGACGCUUCACUUGACAAAUGGAAAAAAAGAUUGAUUCAGGUCCCGCCCUACAGAUCUCCUAUAGGGCAGAAUUAUGGAGAAUUCUCUGUCAUAUCAGAAACGACCUCUUCAAGGGGCGGGGCCAAGUGAAAGGGGUGUGGUCUAAAAGGGGGCGGUACCGAGAAGAGAAGGCGGUGCCCAAAUUGUAUCUCGUCCAUUGAUAGGAACCAUCUAUUACCCCUUGAAAGGCGUAAGGUGUGAAAAUUCAAGAGGAGCAAAAAGAAAUGUUGAGCUUCAAAAACUCCAGGUCCAACGUUACUCAAGAAAACAGUCACAGAAGAAACUCUAAAUGGACUGAUAGUUCAUAGCCCAUGGCUGGUCUUCCAUGGUUAAUCCUGAUCUUGGCGAAAAGGAUUUAUCUCCAGUAUUCAGAGCUCCCUCUCAACAAUAGAUACAGGCGUUGAUACAAAUUAAAACAAAAAAAGUAAACUUAA